GAUGAACGCUGGCGACGUGCCUAAUACAUGCCAGUCGAGCGAACAGACGAGGAGCUUGCUCCUCUGACGUUAGCGGCGGACGGGUGAGUAACACGUGGAUAACCUACCUAUAAGACUGGGAUAACUUCGGGAAACCGGAGCUGAUACCGGAUAAUAUAUUGAACCGCAUGGUUCAAUAGUGAAAGACGGUUUUGCUGUCACUUAUAGAUGGAUCCGCGCCGCAUUAGCUAGUUGGUAAGGUAACGGCUUACCAAGGCGACGAUGCGUAGCCGACCUGAGAGGGUGAUCGGCCACACUGGAACUGAGACACGGUCCAGACUCCUACGGGAGGCAGCAGUAGGGAAUCUUCCGCAAUGGGCGAAAGCCUGACGGAGCAACGCCGCGUGAGUGAUGAAGGUCUUCGGAUCGUAAAACUCUGUUAUUAGGGAAGAACAAAUGUGUAAGUAACUAUGCACGUCUUGACGGUACCUAAUCAGAAAGCCACGGCUAACUACGUG
rnacentral:rRNA from 1 species